AACGAACGCUGGCGGCAGGCCUAACACAUGCAAGUCGAACGCAUCGCAAGAUGAGUGGCGCACGGGUGCGUAACGCGUGGGAAUAUGCCCUUCACUACGGAACAACGUCUGGAAACGGACGCUAAUACCGUAUAAUGACUCCGGUCCAAAGAUUUAUCGGUGAAGGAUUAGCCCGCGUUAGAUUAGGUAGUUGGUGGGGUAACGGCCUACCAAGCCUACGAUCUAUAGGGGGUCUGAGAGGAUGAUCCCCCACACUGGGACUGAGACACGGCCCAGACUCCUACGGGAGGCAGCAGUUAGGAAUAUUGGACAAUGGGCGCAAGCCUGAUCCAGCCAUGCCGCGUGUGUGACGAAGGCCUUAGGGUUGUAAAGCACUUUCGUCCGCGAAGAUAAUGACAGUAACGGAAGAAGAAGCUCCGGCUAAAUUCGUGCCAGCAGCCGCCGCGGUAA
rnacentral:rRNA from 1 species